AAAUUAAAAAAAAAAAAGCCUCGAUUAUCAAGUCCAAUUAUACGAUCUCACUCGACAGUCGACACUCUCUCGGACUCUCACUCCACGACUGAAAUUGGGGAUUGCGAGACUGCGAUUGCGCCGAGACUUCUCUUCUUCUCUCGAUUCACAGGUAUUGAAGAUGAGGAAGAUGAUUCCAUGGGUGAUGUUGAGAAGUUUGUACUUGGAUUGCAGAAUAUUGAAAACUGACUUUCUUGAAGCUGAUCUGGGAUUCCAGAUGUUCCAUCUAAACCAGAAUUUUGCAGAUAAUAUGGAACAAUUUUGCAGAUAAUAUGCUCCAUGAUCCAUGAUCCAUGUGUUGACAGAAGCUCUUGCAAAGCCUGACAAUUCUAGUAAUCUUGUGUUCACUGACUGGUGCAAGUUUCCAUAUUAUUAGUAUUAGACUUGAUCCAUCUGUCUUGGGUCUUUGUUUCAUUUUCUUUGUAUAAGAUUAGAUGGACGUACAGGCUACUGCUUGGUUUGUGACUUUUGUUUAUUACUGCAAGUGUUAUAUUUACUUAGGACGGAAAUGUUCGUA